UGGGAAGAAAUUUUUUUCGGAAUUAUUGGGCGUAAAGAGCUCGUAGGCGGUUUGUCGCGUCUGCCGUGAAAGUCCGGGGCUCAACUCGGGAUCUGCGGUGGGUACGGGCAGACUAGAGUGAUGUAGGGGAGACUGGAAUUCCUGGUGUAGCGGUGAAAUGCGCAGAUAUCAGGAGGAACACCGAUGGCGAAGGCAGGUCUCUGGGCAUUAACUGACGCUGAGGAGCGAAAGCAUGGGGAGCGAACAGGAUUAGAUACCCUGGUAGUCCAUGCCGUAAACGUUGGGCACUAGGUGUGGGGGACAUUCCACGUUUUCCGCGCCGUAGCUAACGCAUUAAGUGCCCCGCCUGGGGAGUACGGCCGCAAGGCUAAAACUCAAAGGAAUUGACGGGGGCCCGCACAAGCGGCGGAGCAUGCGGAUUAAUUCGAUGCAACGCGAAGAACCUUACCAAGGCUUGACAUGAACCGGACCGCCGCAGAAAUGUGGUUUCCCCUUUGGGGCUGGUUUACAGGUGGUGCAUGGUUGUCGUCAGCUCGUGUCGUGAGAUGUUGGGUUAAGUCCCGCAACGAGCGCAACCCUCGUUCUAUGUUGCCAGCACGUGAUGGUGGGGACUCAUAGGAGACUGCCGGGGUCAACUCGGAGGAAGGUGGGGACGACGUCAAAUCAUCAUGCCCCUUAUGUCUUGGGCUUCACGCAUGCUACAAUGGCCGGUACAAAGGGUUGCGAUACUGUGAGGUGGAGCUAAUCCCAAAAAGCCGGUCUCAGUUCGGAUUGGGGUCUGCAACUCGACCCCAUGAAGUCGGAGUCGCUAGUAAUCGCAGAUCAGCAUUGCUGCGGUGAAUA
rnacentral:rRNA from 1 species